AUUGAACGCUGGCGGCAUGCCUUACACAUGCAAGUCGAACGGCAGCACGGGGGCAACCCUGGUGGCGAGUGGCGAACGGGUGAGUAACACAUCGGAACGUGCCCAGUAGUGGGGGAUAGCUCGGCGAAAGCCGGAUUAAUACCGCAUACGACCUACGGGUGAAAGCGGGGGAUCGCAAGACCUCGCGCUAUUGGAGCGGCCGAUGUCAGAUUAGGUUGUUGGUGGGGAAAGGCCUACCAAGCCGACGAUCUGUAGCUGGUCUGAGAGGACGACCAGCCACACUGGGACUGAGACACGGCCCAGACUCCUACGGGAGGCAGCAGUGGGGAAUUUUGGACAAUGGGCGCAAGCCUGAUCCAGCCAUGCCGCGUGCGGGAAGAAGGCCUGG
rnacentral:rRNA from 1 species